rnacentral:rRNA from 1 species
AAUUUUUUUAUUGCAUUUGAACUAGAUAUGGUUGUAUCUUAGAGAUUGUUGCUUUGGACAGGAUUUACUAUAUUUUUGCAGCAGGCUACAUGCUUCUCUGAAUGACCAUUUAAGGAGUGAACAUGAACUGCUGAUGUAUAUGUUCCAUGCUCCAUGGGGAGGGAACAAGGAUUGAUUUUCGCCGGGAGUAGGAAGAGUAUGACUUGCCUAACAGAAGCACAAACACAAAUGGACACUCUGCAGUUGUAUCAGACACACCACCACAAGACCUGCUGUGUGCGUCACAAUUCUUAGCAGCGACCGUUACGAC